rfam:Medicago truncatula strain A17 chromosome 5, whole genome shotgun sequence.
AAACAGCCCCAUAUGUUUUGAUUCUUUGGCAGUUUUGGACCCCCAAGGCAAAAAAUAAAAUAAAAAAUUUGACACGUGGCACAUCACUUAGGGUGCCACGUCAGCGUUGACCGAGUCAACAAUGGACUGAGGGUCCAAAACCGCCAAAGAAUCAAAACAUAGGGGGCUGUUU